CCUUGACUACGAAGACCCAGUCGUUAUAGGCAGAAACUACCAGUAUGAUCUCAUAGUUACGGCAACAGAUGUAGGGUCGCCAUCGGUUGCUACAGCAACUGUAAGAGUAAAGGUGACCAAUAGGAAUGAGUACUCUCCUGAGUUUACUGUUACUUCCGGCACGUUCGAUUUCGACGAAGGAGAAAGCAUUGGAUCCUCAGUGGUUCCAUCUUUGUUGGCCACAGAUUUGGAUAAUGGAGUUGAUGGCGCCAUAACGUUCAGUAUCACCGGAACCACCCCUGCUGCUGGGUGCGACUUUACGAUAUUUCCGGACACUGGUGAAAUCAUUACUCUUGGAGAAUUCGACUAUGAGGCUGGCCCAACUUCUUGCACGCUAGUAAUACAAGCAGUGGACAACGGCGACACACCGAAGACGGCAUCGCCUUCAUAUACCGCAACAAUCAACAUCAAUAAUAUCAACGACAACGAACCAUUUUUCACACCAACAACACUAGCACUUGCAGCGAUUUCCGAAAACCAUGACACCGUGACUGCGAUUGCCUCCAUUUCGGAGCUUGCUGCAGGAGGUGAUUUCAUGGUUGAUGAUCUUGACACUGUUCUACCGGAUUCCACUUAUUGGUUCGCUUCCGGCAAUGAUCUUGGUUUAUUCACAUUUGAUGGCUUAGAUAUCAAGUUGACUCAAACUAUAGAUUUAGAUAAUCCGGUCUUCAAUCCGAGUGAAUACACUUUGGUGAUAGGUGUUAGUGAUGGGGAUGUACCGCCAUUGACUGGUUAUGCGACACUCAUCGUGGAGGUCACACCAGAAAACAACCAUAAUCCGUUCAUUGACCAUAUCGACCCUGGUGGCACAAUACAGAUAAACGAAAAUGAUCCAAUCGGAACACUGUGUGCAACAGUAUAUGCUGAGGACAGAGAUGUUGACGACAUAUUGGCGUAUGCUAUAUUUGAUGGGAAUGUCAAUAAUUAUUUCGAAAUUGACUCGUCCACUGGAGAAAUACGAGUUGCUAAUCAAGUAGAUUAUGAAGCGAUAGCACCUAAUGUUAAUAUCGAUCUGAGGGUUACAGUUACUGACCUUGGCGGUGGAAUGGUUACGGCAUCUGUUCCGUUGCUGAUACAUAAUCUAAAUGACUUUGACCCUACUUGCACUACAACUAGUUUUUUGGAACUUAUAUCUGAGACUGACCCUGCUGGCACGACGAUUGCUCAGCUAGACUGCAGCGACCUGGAUCCAGAUACCACGUUAACGUACACUAUAGUGCCAUCGACCCCUGAUUUUACUGUAGACGCCACUGGACUAGUAACUGUUGCCACAGGUAACAGCAUCGACUAUGAUUUGCAGUCUGUGUACAACUUCAACGUUGAGGUAACUGAUGACGAGGGGGGGUUGGAAAUUUGUAAUAUCAUUGUGCAGAUUCAGCCGGAAAACACAGACACACCAGAGUUCAUACCGGCAUUUUGGUCAAUUGGGCCCAUACCUGAAGACACGGACCCCAGCACAUCGAUAACACAAGUGUCUGCCACCGAUACUGAUAGUUAUCCUCUGGGCGUUCAAUUGUACGAAAUCAUAACUGUUUUGGGGUCUACGGGAACCGAUGUUACUUCAGACGUCAUCUUCGACAUAGACCCGUCAGAUGGUACGAUUUACAUUGCGGCACCCCUGGAUUACGAGACUGAGACAUACUACGAGGUAGAAAUAAGGGCCACGGACGGCGGUGGGGAAACUGGAAUUGGAGUACUUACAAUUGACAUUGGUAACGAGGACGACAACUACCCUUUAUGUGCUUUCGACUCCCUUAUUCGUUCAGUUCCUGAGACUACAGCAACUAGCAGUAUAAUUGUAUCUGCAACAGAUCUUAGUUGCACCGAUGCAGAUGGAGAUACUUUGUCUUAUACGUUGACACCCUCUUCACCAUUCAGUGUGGAUUCGUCUGGAUACAUUACUUUAACAGGUUCACUUGACUACGAAACGGCAAACGCAUAUGGUUUGAAUUUACGCGUUAGUGAUGGUGGUGGACUUUACACUGAUAUCCCUAUAUACGUAGAUGUAAUCAAUGAAAAUGACAGUCCUCCAGUGUUUGCUAGCAGCACAUAUCCUGUUACGAUACCGGAAGAUACAGCGGCAGGAAUUGAUGUUAUUCUUGUCACUGCGCAGAAUUUUGACGACCCCACCACCCCUGAAGGACAAAUUACUUAUUCAAUUAUUAGCGGUGACCCGGAUGGAAAAUUCAGUAUUGAUGCAAACUCUGGGCAAAUAAAAUGUCUUGGCCAACUUGACAGAGAAACAGAAGCGAGCUACAGUCUUGUAAUAGAAGCAAGUGAUUCGUUGUCAGUUGAUACGACAACAGUCGUAGUCACAGUAAGCGACGUAAAUGAUGAAGAUCCUCAGUGUACCGAAACAUCAUUCAGUAUUGAGGUAGAAGAAACUCCAAACAAUCUAGAUUACGACUCAGGACUAGCAAGGCAGUACGAUCUUGAAAUAACUGUUGUUGAUUCAGCCGGCCAAUCACAUGUCAUAGAAGGGACUGUGCAUGUGAAACAUGUUAAUGAGGAUGCACCAGCAUUUCAACCAACGAGUCUGUAUUCUGUUGAUUUUGAAGAGAACCAAACACCGGAUACACUUGUGAUUACGGUUGUUGCCACAGAUACAGAUUCUGAUGACACUGAAGACGGUGUAGUUACGUACAGCUUUGCAGCCUCGUGUACCGUGGAUUGUGCCAUGUUUUCAAUAGACCCUGCGAGUGGAGAAAUAUCGAACUCACAGGAACUCGAUCGCGAGCUCAAUGAUGCGUACACCUUAGUGAUUGAGGCUGCUGAUGACGCGUUCACUGCAACUGCUACUGUGGAAGUCACCAUCAUCGAUGUGAACGACAACACACCUAUAUUUGCCAAUGAUAUUAUAGAGAAAGAUAUCGAAGAAGGUCAAGGCGCAAUUACACUUGUCGAAUAUAUAACAGCUGUGGAUAGUGAUGACCCUGGAACAGAUGACAAUGGCGUUGUUACAUAUUCUAUUGUUGAUGGCAACGCAGAUGGACACUUCUCAAUAAAUUCUUUCACUGGCGACCUUAAGACAGCCCAGAGCUUGGAUUACGAGGAAGUGACAUCAUAUGAAUUAAAAAUAGUGGGCACUGAUAGAAAUGGCGGUGUGGGAUCCCUGAGUUCCACUGUUACAGUUAGAGUUAACGUACUUCCAAAGAAUGAAUUCUCGCCAUCUUUUAGUGAGAACCCAGUUGAGCGAGACGUUUUAGAAGAUGUGGAUAUUGGUGAUUUUUUGUUUCUCGUAAAUGCAGAUGAUAAUGAUGAUGGUGAUGAUGGUGAUGUGACAUAUCAAAUGAACAUACAUCCGAAAUUUCGAUUAGACCCCUCAACUGGUGAACUAUUCUUGAAGGAUAAAUUAGAUCGUGAAUCAACCUCUUCAUACACGUUGACGUUAAACGCGGUUGAUGGCGGAUCACCAGCAAAGUCAGGAGCAACUACCGUCAUUAUAACAGUAACUGAUGCAAAUGAUAACACUCCUGUGUGUAGUCCAUCACAUAUCUCUGUGACAUUCCCAGAAGACACGGCAUCGAUUAUAGCAUCUCUUUCAUGUACCGAUGACGAUGAUGGUCCAGACAACAAUAGACUUACUUAUACAAUAGUUAGUGAAGAUGGUGUCGUAGGAUCAGGCACAAUAUUUAGUUUGAGUGGAGACGACGUCGUUUUAGCGACUGGACUUGACUACGAAACAGCAACAGAACAUACUUUGAAAAUUCGCGUUGAAGACAAUGGCCUUUCUCCGCUCAGUGCAACAGUUUCGAUUACCGUAGAAGUAACAGGGGUUAAUGAGUAUGACCCUGUGAUUGCCGCCCUUACACCAAUAACAAUGCUAGAAAAUGCGCCAGUUGAUUUAUCAGUUAUUAAGGAUAUAGACGCAACAGACGCAGAUUUGGGAGAAUAUGUGACUUAUGAAAUAAUUCCUGAUGAUCCACGAUUUUAUUGUGAUCCCCUGACAGGUGAAAUUUCUCUUCUUAGUGAAAUCGAUGCAGAUCCUGGGCCAUUGACCAUCUCACUUACUGUCAGGGCUACUGAUGAUGGACUAGUUCAUGCACUGAGGUACUCUGAGGCAACAUUAACAAUUAAUGUGGAUGACGUAAAUGACAAUAAUCCUGUAUUCCUUGACCAUUCAUAUUAUUUUAUAUGCUCAGAGAAUUCUGGAAUUGGUGAUUCUAUUGGCACCGUUUCAGCUACUGAUGUUGAUUCAGGGGUAAAUGGAGAUAUAAAAUACACAAUUAGUCCGAAUGAUGGUGUAUUCACAGUAGGCUUAACUUCAGGAGUUAUAAAUGUGGGUGCUGCAUUGGAUCUCGAAACGACUUCCAGUUAUACGUAUACAGUUAUAGCUACUGACCAAGGCACAGGUUCCCUGACAGGAUCAUCUUCUGUUACCAUAGAAAUAACUGGGUAUAAUGAUGAAUCUCCUGUACUUAGUGCUGCAGGGCCUGUAGACAUUAGAGAAGAUGCAGGAUGGGGUGACUCAGUGAUCACUGUAGCAGCCACCGAUGGUGAUGCGGGUGUCGAUGGUGAUGUUAGGUUAUAUCAUAACCGGUGGCAGUGAUGGCAAAUUUAAUAUUGAUUAUAACACUGGAUUAAUAUCUGUAGCUGGCAUAUUGGACUACGAAACAACCACAGCGUACACACUUACUGUCGAAGCAACAGACCAUGGUAUUGAUCCAGGUGCACUGACAGAUGAUAUUACUGUGGUGAUAAAUGUACUGCCUAUUAAUGAUAAUAAACCUACAUGUAAUCCAGUAUUAUAUGCUGUACCAGUUCAGGACAGUGCUGUGGCUAAUGACCCCGUGUUAACCCCGGUAUGCGAAGACCUUGAUUUACCAGGAGAUGUAUUAACCUACAGUAUGGCGACAUCAACAUAUUUCGAUAUCGAUACUUCUACUGGAGAAAUAACUGUCAAAUCUGAUCUAGCCGUUGCCCCCAGCCCUGUGUACAGUCUCUUUGUAGAAGUAAUUGAUGAUGGCACAGAUCCGGGAGCAUUAUCUUCAACAUUUACAGUUGUUAUAGAACUUCAAGGGGAUAACAAAAUGGCUCCUGAUUUCGAUAGUAAUGUAUAUAUUUUGACUGCGAUGGAAGAUCAAGCUCCAGGCACUGUAAUAACCACAAACACGGUAUAUGCAGAGGAUACAGAUGUGGGAUCUGCUGGUCGUGUCACAUACACUAUUAUUGAUGGAAAUGACAGUGGAACUUUUCGUAUUAAUGGAACUACUGGAGAACUGUUUAUAGAGAAAUCACUAGAUCGAGAAAGGCAAGAAAUUUAUUAUCUGAAUGUCAGUGCUGAAGACGACGGAUCCCCGUCAUAUAUAACAUAUGUUGGUGUUGAAGUCACUGUACUAGAUGUAAAUGACGAAGCACCCAUUUGCGAUCCUCUGCUGUACACGGCAAGCAUUGUAGAAGAAGACCCAACUAUACUAACAAUUGCCACUGUGAUUUGCAAUGAUAGUGAUAAAGCACCAACUGAUAACAGCGAUUUUGAGUUCGAGAUUGGAGCUGGCAAUGAUGGUACUGCAUUUAGUAUAACACCGGAUACUGGUGAAGUCAAGAAUGUUGGUGCUUUGGAUCUUGAGACCCAGGAAUUUUAUCAACUAAUUAUUCAUGCUGUUGAUAAAGGUACUCCAUCCUUAACAGGUACAGCCACUGUGAAUGUACAGGUGACUGGUGUCAAUGACAACGAGCCGUAUUUUAGUCCGGUCACACAGGGAACCAUAGUAAAUGAAGCAAAUCCACUCCAGGUAUCAUUCUAUCAGGUCGUUGCAUAUGACGAUGACCAGCACCAGGACGGCGCUGUCAUGUUCAACAUUACUGAAGGAAACGAUAACAACAUUUUUGGAAUAAAUUCAGCAACUGGAGAAUUGCACCUCGUUAAUCCCCUCGACCGAGAAACGCUUGACACACACACGUUGACCAUUGAAGCCAUUGACCUUGCUACUGACCCAGCCCUCCGAUUAACUGGAACAGGUACUGUUAUUGUCACUGUGACGGAUUCAAACGACGAAGCUCCAUUGUGUGACCCAAUUGAAGCAUAUGUAUCCUUCACAGAAAAUGCGGUGCCAAAUGAUAUAAUUACUACUCUCAACUGCACUGAUGCUGAUCUAGAGCCCCCAAAUAACGACUUUACACUAUCCAUACUAUCUGGAAAUGAUGACAAUAAAUUUUAUCUUUUCCAAAAUCAGAUUAAGGUCACUGACACACUCGAUUAUGAAGAGCAACAACAAUAUGUCCUCGAAAUUAAACUAAUUGAUAAGGGCACCCCAACGCAAACUGGGUAUACAACAUUAACUAUUAAUAUUAUUCCUGUUAAUGAGUUCGCACCCGUUUAUGAGGAAGACACAUACAUUUUCGAUAUAUACGAAGAUGUAUCCCUACGGACCACAGUUGGCUCGGUGAAAGCUACUGAUGAAGAUUACAACGAGGACUACCACGGAAUACCGCGAUAUUACAUAAAGAACGGAAACGAUGAGAACAAAUUUGCCAUUGAUCCCGAAACUGGUGAAAUUUUCACAAUUGGUCUACUGAAUAGAGAAGUUACGGCAACAUACGACCUACUUAUAAUGGCGCAAGACAGCACUGCUCUACGGAAUGACCAACUGGAUGUGAACCAGACAGUAACUAUCAAUGUCAUUGAUGUAAACGACAACAAACCAGAGUUUCGUCCGAAUGCUUAUUUUCAAGUUAUCAUGGAGACCCUACCUCCAGGAUCCACUAUUUUAAUGGUGACAGCAACAGAUGCAGAUGAAGGAACAAAUGCCGAGUUCACGUUUGAGAUUGAAAGUGGUAACGUUGAUAACACCUUCUAUUUUGAUGGCGACUACUUAGUAGUUAAUAAGAAGGUUGAUUUAAAUGUAGCUGUUUUUUAUCGAUUGACUGUAAAUGUUAUCGAUCAUGGCACUUAUCCUGGACCUCUUCAAAACUAUGGCGUAAUAACACUUUUGGUAGAUUCCACCAAUGAGUAUAAUCCAACAUUUGAUCAAGAAGAUGACAUUUUAUUAGUAUCAGAAGGAACUAAGAUUGGUGCUCACAUAUACACUGCGAUCGCUGAUGACUUUGAUGUUGGUUGUCAUGGAACACUUAGAUACAUUGUGGAAGAUGUUGUUCCUGCAAGUGGUGUAAAUCAUUUCUAUAUAGAUGAACUGUAUGGAGAGAUGCUUCUAUCAUCUUAUCUAGACAGGGAAGAACAGUCCACCUAUGAUGUGACGAUUACUGCAAUAGACGACAGUUGUAACGACACUACUGACAUAAGAACAGACAGUCUCGUAGUGCAUGUUGUUGUUACUGAUGAGAAUGACAACUCCCCUGAGUUUACCGAAAGUGGGUAUGUGUUCUACGUCACAGAAAAUAUUCCACUUGAAACACUGAUUGAUAGAGUACGUGCAACUGACGUAGACGAAGGCGUAAAUGCACAAAUAGAAUAUACUAUGGAUUCCCUAUCGUACACUGACAAGUUCACAGUGGAUCUUGAUGGGGGUGGUGUUACAACAUCCGGGGAACUAGACUUUGAGGAGCAACGCGCAUAUAGCUUUCUAGUUGUGGCAAGAGAUAAGGGCACGGAACCCAGAUCAACCAUUGUUACUGUAAUUGUAAAUUUACUAGACGAGAAUGAUAACGAGCCAAUACUCUACCCAGAUGUCAUGCACGUCGCAAUAGAUGAAAAUGUCGAAGAAGGAACACUUGUGACUCUUAUUGACGCUUAUGAUCUGGACAGCACAACAAAUGGAGAAUUCAUAUAUGAAAUUAUUGAUGGGGAUAUUAAUGACGCAUUUGUGUUAGAUCCACUUAAAGGGGAACUAUAUACAUCAAAUAAUAUCUUGGACAGGGAGUACAUUGACGUAUACACACUAAUAAUCAAAACAACUGACAUGGGAACGCCACCUAUGUUCUACACUGGUACGGUCACGGUCACAGUGCUUGAUCUGAAUGACAACGACCCAGUUGCAAACCCCGUGUUCUAUGAAGAAACAGUUUCGGAAGACGUCUCUAUUGGAACACAGCUAUUGGACAUAGAAGCUACAGAUUCCGAUAUACUUGAAAAUGGAAAUCUCACAUACAGCUUCCUAACCGGAAACACAGCAUCACGGUUUUCAAUUUACGAGACUACCGGUGUCAUUAGAGUAGCAAAAAGUUUGAACAGAGAAUCAGUUGACGAGUAUACGUUGUAUAUACUCAUUGAAGAUCAGGGAGAUCCUGUUCGUUCUGCGACGGCGGUGGCAAGUAUUUAUGUAGAAGACGUGAACGACUCGCCUCCUAGAUUCACCCCCAGGAACAGGGCAUUCUCGGUGUUGGAAAAUUCCCCAGCCGGGGUCGUGUUGGGUAAUAUGUACGCGGAAGACCAAGACCUUGGAACCAACGCAGAGUUCGAGUUUGCCCUCAUAGCGGGUAGUGGCUUUGGAAAAUUCAGUGUUAAUUCUAUAAAUGGGGCAGUGACUUUAUUAGUUUCAAAUUUAGAUCGUGAAGCUCGGUCAUCUUAUCAACUAAUUGUUAGAGCGCAAGACAAUGGUUCGCCACCGCUAUUUACCGACUCUACGGUGACAAUUGCCGUAACUGAUAUAAAUGAUCAUACACCUACAUUUGAUAGAGCUUUCUACGAUGCUGAAGUAAUAGAAAACGCCGUACCUGGAACAUCCGUUCUGAUAGUCCAUGCAGUCGAUAAGGACACUGGAAACAACGCAGCUCUAACUUACUCCAUUGACUCGACCAAUGUCGAAGCAAACACAUACUUCCAAAUAGACUCCGACACCGGUAUAAUAAGAGUGCGAGACGGUAUCGACUACGAAACUUACAAAGAGAUUAUCUUCGACGUCAACGUCGAAGAUGGCGGUGAUGUUCCCCUCGCCGAUGUUACACGAGUCACAAUCUCCGUCGUGGACGAGAAUGACAAUGAACCAAUAAUAUCACCAUGUUUUAUAAAUAACGAAAUAUCGUACCUUCAUGCAACUUCUAAAGGCAUCCUAGCAACAUACGCCGCAUCGGAUGCUGAUGCCAGUCAACAAGUAACAUUUGAACUGUCACCAUCAUCUUAUGUGUUCCAGAUUGGAUCCAAUACAGGGACAAUAACAGCGAUACCCGGCGUUGAACCUGCUGAUGACGCCAAAUAUGUUCUGCAGUUAUUAGCACGAGACGAUGGCUAUCCCCAACAGACUUCUGACCCUUGUUUAGCACGUAUCGACACGUUCAACCCGUAUAUUUAUAUGUUGGACUUGCAUAUGAGCAGCACCACACAAUCCGAAUUUGAAGGCAAGAAGGUGCAAUUACUUUCUUCACUGAAUUCACUGCUGCGAGGACGCGUAUCGUCGGCUCGAGUUGGAAUAUCCCAUUUAUCAGGAGGAGGGGCAAGUACGGCAUCUCGGAGACUUCUUGCUGCCGAUGACCUCGUCAUACACGUAUAUGCCGUAGAAAACUCAGAAGCAGACAAUGUAUAUGGUAUUGAGAACGAGAAAGUUUUCUUGACCAAUGAAUAUUUACAUUCAAUCUUCGCCGCUGAUAUUUUUGAUAAUCCUGUAGGAACGCUUAAAGAAAAUGAUAUAUUUAAAGUGCAAAAAUACCCAGGCGAAGACUGGUACCGUACUCCUGAAGGCAUAGCUGGACUGACAAUGGGAAUAUUGGGUCUCAUCGCCUUAUUCACAUUACCAUGUCUUUGUUACUGCUGUUGUAAGGCAGGUUUAUGCGAUGGCUGUUGUACUGGGCUUGGGGACAGAUGUCGUUCUUGUAGAGAACGGCGACCAAAAAAACCAAAGGCUUACAGUGAAAAGAAACCCGCGGCUAAGAAAGGCGCAUGGGACAAAAAAUCAGACAAAUCUGGGGACGGAAAUGGUAAUGAUAAAUCAAAAGACAAGAAAGGAACUCAACCCAACGUACUUGGAACAUCAGCCAGCAAAACCGGUCAAGGAGGUACAAGACCAAGUGGAGGUGGCACAAAACCAGGUUCGGAUGGCCCGAAACCGGGGGCAGGUGGUACCAAGCCAGGGGGAGGUGGUGCGACCAAACCGAGUCCAGCAGCUGCCGUUGGAGGAGGAAAUCCCAAUGCUAAUCCAAACAUCGGCGUUCUUGGGUAUCCUGGCUUGAGUGUUGGACCAAACAAAUUCGUCAAGCUGCGGAACAGGCCGCUGUGAAUUCCUGGAGAUCCCACUGCUAAGGGCAUAGCGCAGAGAACUGGCACUGCUGCUCCACAGGCUCCAAGUGGCGGUACAGCAGCGCCAGCCAGCUCUGGUAGAUACGGAGGGGGCGGUGGAGCUGGUCCGCCAGGAGGUACCGGACGUUAUGGCGGCGGAGGUACCGGGGCACCUAGUGCUGGUGGCGGUGGUGGUGGUGUUGGUGGUGGUGGAUCAGGUCGAUAUGAUGGAAAAGCGGUUGAUCCUGGUAAAUAAUAGUAAGCUUUCUUCUUUACGACACGCUGGCAACACUUAUCAUACACUUAUUUUAAAUUUAAUGAUGUUCUAUAAACGGGUAGCCAAUACGCGUAUCGCAAUAUUAAACACAGAAGCAUUUUUCAAACACAAUGAUGCUGUUCUUAUUUCUUCGAAAUAUAUCACCUGCGCAUGCGCAUCUUCUAAAGCACCGCACUCUUGGCAUGUUUCAAGACCACAACAUUCACCUCUACAAAAAGCGACACAAUUUUAGUGUUUAGUUCAGUUCUAUCUUAUGUAUAUGUUUCUUUAGCGUUGCUUCAAAAAUAAACGCACUCGCUUACUCGGUACUUUGACGCCAGAACAUCCCAAUCCCCGGCACAGGUGCACAGCCAUGAGUUAAUUCCAUACAUCAUUAUUGUUAUUGUCUUCCUUGUUGUUAUUUUAGCCACAGGUAAAACGUAUGAGUACAACAAGACCACCGGGGAAAGAAGAUGGAUUGAUAAAUAACCAUGAUAUAACAUUAAUUAUUAGCGACCAGAAGUCACCUUGCUAGGUGGAAUAUAUUUACAUCACUCAAAUUUUUUAUCUGCACUUUGACCUUUCAACUUAAUAUUUAAAUAGCUUUAAUCUCACGAUUUCAAAGAGAACUGUAAAUAAAAUCACAAACAAGUUAUUUAUGUAUGUA